rnacentral:rRNA from 1 species
GACGAACGCUGGCGGCGUGCUUAACACAUGCAAGUCGAACGGAAAGGCCCCUUUGGGGGUCCUCGAGUGGCGCACGGGUGAGUAACACGUGAGUAACCUGCCCUUGACUUCGGGAUAACUUCAGGAAACUGGGGCUAAUACCGGAUAGGAAUCCUUGCUGCAUGGUGGGGGUUGGAAAGCUUCGGCGGUUUUGGAUGGACUCGCGGCUUAUCAGCUUGUUGGUGGGAUAGUGGCUUACCAAGGCUUUGACGGGUAGCCGGCCUGAGAGGGCGACCGGCCACAUUGGGACUGAGAUACGGCCCAGACUCCUACGGGAGGCAGCAGUGGGGAAUAUUGCACAAUGGGCGGAAGCCUGAUGCAGCAACGCCGCGUGCGGGAUGACGGCCUUCGGGUUGUAAACCGCUUUCAGCAGGGGCGAAGCUUGUGGUGACGGUACCUGCAGAAGAAGCACCGGCUAACUACGUG